CAACUAUAUAUGCCAUAGUUUUAUUUAUUGAAACUAAUACAACUGAUUAUGUGCCACUUAAUUGGAUAAGUGAAGUUAAAAUCAAUUCACUUCCAUCCAUUAUUGAAAAUAAAGUGUCUGUUAAAGUUUAUUGACCAAAUGGGAAAAAUUUAAAUCCAACAGGUAUUGCAAAGGCUAAAAACAAUCUAAUUCAAAGACAGUCUUAAUGAGGCAAGGUCAGAGGCUAAAAGAGCUGAGGACACAUCCAACUUGGAUAUAGCAGAAGAAAAUGCAUUAAAAUCUGUUAGAAGGUAACUUUAUUUAUGGAAUUUUAUAACUUAAUAAAAAAUUAUAUAUCUUUGUAUGUGUGUAUUUAUUUAUAAAACUUUUAGAUAUAAAAUGAUUAGUUCCUCUGAGAAUGAAGAAAAAGAAUACAAUCAGAUUUUACAAAGAAACUGAAAAAAAACAUUCGGCACAAAAAAAGAAAACCGAUGCUUUAUGUGUUACUUAAGUAGACAAAUAUCCUCCACCUUUCAUUUACAAAGAGCCUCAGAAUUUACUGAAUCUGUAAGUAACAUUGUGCUU